GGGUGGCUUGGUAGCUAUAGACUUCUCAGAAGCCUGUGAUCUAUUUUUCAAGAAAUGACAUUUGUUCCUCUGAGUGGCCCCCUACUGAUGUUUUCUCUGCCUUCUUGGAUAACUGCUGGUUAUUCUUCAUCUCUAGAGCUCUCCUGUUUAGUCUGGUGCGGAAUCGGAUUGUCUUUCAGGUGACAUAGGUCAGCAUUCCAGCCAAGCCAGGGGUUAAGACAUACCAGAUGGAGAUUUGACAACAAAGGAGCUGUCCAGCAGUGACAACAAGAACAUAAACAAAAGAACAAAACAGGAAUUGCUCUUGCCCCACUUCCAACAUGAUGGUCCUGAUCCCGAUAUGCACCCCUAUUCCACACCUGUCAUAGAGGCUGCUUCACAGUGCUCCUUCAAAUUGCACUGUCUAGGAGUGACAUGACCCCAGAUCAGGACUUCUCAGAGGCAAACUUGUCUGGCAACUGCAACUCUGAGGAGGAGAUGGAUCCAUGCCCUGGUACGUGCCAUGUUGGUCCACAGACACUGGAACCUCCCUCCCCUCCCUUGAGCCUGUAGGGUUUGGAAAUAAUACUCAUUUGAUAUAAAGAAAUAUCGGUUUAUUUCUUGGUGACCUGACCCCAAAUCAUUCCAGUGGCUAAGCAAAUAAAAGCCUGUUUUAUCUGGAAUUAUAUUCACCUUCCUGCUCUUCAUGCAUAUCCAUGCCCCCAAGUUCUAUAUAAUGUUGCAAACUGUAUUACAAUGAGAUUCCUAGGCCCUACUUUACAUGAUUGUAGACCUUGACAUCCUUGCCUUUAGAAAUGUAAAGAGUGUAACUCGAGUGUAUUCAUGAUAUAAUGAUCCUACUUGUAAACGGGCUUCCCUGACUCCUAUCUGUUCUUUGUUCCUGUGGCUCCAAGCGCUUAUCUCAAGGACAGUACAAAAUAUGCAAGCCUAUGUCUGUUGGAAACUAGAUGUUGCUAGUUUUGUUAUCCCAAGCACUCCUUUUACCAUAUCUUAAGAGUUACUUAGUCUAGCAGUAUUUCUCUUUUGCUUUAUGACGUCUAUUUAAUUGCACCCCAUUUCUGUAACCAUUGGGGAAAGUCUAUAUAAUCUCUGGACUUACAAUAAACGGGGUUCCCACUUCUGAAAGGCAUCUUGCUGAAAGGUC